rnacentral:lncRNA from 1 species
UCACCCUAUCUAAUCACAGGCAGAGUGGUUAAAGGAGAAGAAUGCGGUCUCAGAAGGCUUCGAUGAGAUGAUAGCUGAUCAAAGCUUUACCAUGAUCUAAAGACCCUGAACAACGCACUGGGGACAGAACGUUCCCUUUCUGAUAGUAACAAAGACUAGCUACAUCCCCUCAUGACCACCUGUGUACCUCAGAUGCAGUGAUGAAGAUGAGACAAAAUGGAUUUGGUCAUCUUGGGUCACCCAGUGUGCUUUCAGCAGAGGCAAAGAGGAUAUUGUUGCCAUCAAUUACCUCUUCACUGACUUCAGUUAGACUGUAGAGAAAUUUACUUUGAUGCAUGACAAUCAAGCGCUGUCUGU